GAUGAACGCUGGUGGCGUGCCUAAUACAUGCAAGUCGAGCGAACAGACGAGGAGCUUGCUCCUCUGACGUUAGCGGCGGACGGGUGAGUAACACGUGGAUAACCUACCUAUAAGACUGGGAUAACUUCGGGAAACCGGAGCUAAUACCGGAUAACAUAUUGAACCGCAUGGUUCAAUAGUGAAAGACGGUUUUGCUGUCACUUAUAGAUGGAUCCGCGCCGCAUUAGCUAGUUGGUAAGGUAACGGCUUACCAAGGCAACGAUGCGUAGCCGACCUGAGAGGGUGAUCGGCCACACUGGGACUGAGACACGGUCCAGACUCCUACGGGAGGCAGCAGUAGGGAAUCUUCCGCAAUGGGCGAAAGCCUGACGGAGUAACGCCGCGUGAGUGAUGAAGGUCUUCGGAUCGUAAAACUCUGUUAUUAGGGAAGAACAAAUGUGUAAGUAACUAUGCACGUCUUGACGGUACCUAAUCAGAAAGCCACGGCUAACUACGUG
rnacentral:rRNA from 1 species